AAAACACACCCGUCCAACCCCCAAUCUCACCCUUCUCUCUCUCACCACUCACAUAGAACCCGUGCGCCGCCGCCUCCGACCUAAACCUAAAUCGACCGCGCCGCCGCCCGUCCGCUUGCUCCCUCGUGCCACAUCAACUCCAACCCUGACCUUCCUCCCCGCAGGGCACCAUCCACCCAGGAGCAGCAGCUCCAUCCGCCGCGCUGAGGAGUAGCAGCACCGUCAAGCGCCACCAUACAGGAGCAGCAGCGCCUUCAAGCGCCACCGGACAGGAGCAGCAGAACCGUCCACCAGUAAGGAGAAGCAAGGCCGUCGGCCGCCGAGGAUCCAGCGCUGGUUUUCCUCCACCUGUGGCCUCUGUUCCGGCUGAUUUCCUUCCCUCCGCCCGGCCUGAGGUAAGCUUCUGGUGGUGGGGGCAAGUGAAGAAUUUACAUUGGUUCUGUUACAGGAACAGAGGAUGGUCCUCCUAAGCUGCUUAAUGAUGGUUGCUAAUGGCGAUGAUUUAUAUUUCGAUGAUGAUGACGGUGAUGAGCCAUUGAUGCUCGAGGAUGAAGCAGGGUUAGCCGAGGUCCUCGAAGCCUGUCUCUGACGCUGAUGGGUGGACCGCUCUGCUGCCUAGGCAUGAUCAGCCUGGGAAGUAGUAUUAAGGACAUGAGAAGCAAUACUUGGCGCUGUUUGGUCUGAAGGUAGAGUUGGAAUCCCUCUAGCCCAGCUCUAGGCAGGAGGUCGGUUGGAAUUGGAUCAGUAUCAGGAUUAGGAAGCAACCAAGUCACCCUUUUGAUCAACUAAAAUAGUAACAACAGUCAAUGGUGACUUGUGACCAUGAGGUCACGUGUUCAAGUCCUGGAAAGAGCCUCUUGUAGAAAUGUAGGGAAAGGCUGCGUACAAUAGACCCAAAGCGGUCGGACCCUUCCCCGGACCCUGCGCAAGUGGAGCUACAUGCACCGGGCUGCCCUUUUGACGCUUGCAGACCAUGUGAUGUUGCUUGCUUAUAUAUCAACAAGCACACGGCUCCGUGGGCGAGGAGGAUGACUGGGACCCCAACCCCAAGUCGACGACCCUGACCUCGACUUCCCACACAAGGGACAAAUGGUAGAAAGUAGCAAGUCCACAAGUUGAUCGAAGAUGUUCUCCUGAUUUCUUUUGUUGAGAACAGGGUUCACACAUUUUGUUCAUAUGGAAGUUGAUUUGGCUUGGUGAUUGAAGAGUUGGUCUUCCAUAAUAUUCUGUAGUAGUCAAGAGAUCAAGGAUUUGUCUCCUAGGAACUUUGGCAUUAUGCUUGUAAUAACGUGCCUCUCUCGGUACUUAUAUCUGAAUUGUGUAUACUUAAUGGCUGUUGUUCAUAUGGAAGUUGAUUUGGCUUGGUGAUUGAAGAGUUGGUCUUCCAUAAUAUUCUGUAGUAGUCAAGAGAUCAAGGAUUUGUCUCCUAGGAACUUUGGCAUUAUGCUUGUAAUAACGUGCCUCUCUCGGUACUUAUAUCUGAAUUGUGUAUACUUAAUGGCUGUUGUUCAUAUGGAAGUUGAUUUGGCUUGGUGAUUGAAGAGUUGGUCUUCCAUAAUAUUCUGUAGUAGUCAAGAGAUCAAGGAUUUGUCUCCUAGGAACUUUGGCCAUUAUGCUUGUAAUAACGUGCCUCUCUCGGUACUUAUAUCUGACUUGUGUAUACUUAAUGGCUGUAGCUAACUUCAGUGAAGAAAACUAAUGAAUCUUCUAUAUAUGUCGAAUGAAUGCAUUGAUCAA